rnacentral:rRNA from 1 species
UGACCGCUGGCGGCAGGCCUAACACAUGCAAGUCGAGCGGAUGAAGGGAGCUUGCUCCUGGAUUCAGCGGCGGACGGGUGAGUAAUGCCUAGGAAUCUGCCUGGUAGUGGGGGAUAACGUCCGGAAACGGGCGCUAAUACCGCAUACGUCCUGAGGGAGAAAGUGGGGGAUCUUCGGACCUCACGCUAUCAGAUGAGCCUAGGUCGGAUUAGCUAGUUGGUGGGGUAAAGGCCUACCAAGGCGACGAUCCGUAACUGGUCUGAGAGGAUGAUCAGUCACACUGGAACUGAGACACGGUCCAGACUCCUACGGGAGGCAGCAGUGGGGAAUAUUGGACAAUGGGCGAAAGCCUGAUCCAGCCAUGCCGCGUGUGUGAAGAAGGUCUUCGGAUUGUAAAGCACUCUAAGUUGGGAGGAAGGGCAGUAAGUUAAUACCUUGCUGUUUUGACGUUACCAACAGAAUAAGCACCGGCUAACUUCGUG